AGAUUUGAUCAUGGCUCAGAUUGAACGCUGGCGGAAUGCUUUACACAUGCAAGUCGAACGGCAGCAUAGGUGCUUGCACCUGAUGGCGAGUGGCGAACGGGUGAGUAAUACAUCGGAACGUGCCCGGUCGUGGGGGAUAACGUAGCGAAAGUUACGCUAAUACCGCAUACGAUCUACGGAUGAAAGCGGGGGACCGUAAGGCCUCGCGCGAUUGGAGCGGCCGAUGUUAGAUUAGGUAGUUGGUGGGGUAAAGGCUCACCAAGCCGACGAUCUAUAGCUGGUCUGAGAGGAUGAUCAGCCACACUGGGACUGAGACACGGCCCAGACUCCUACGGGAGGCAGCAGUGGGGAAUUUUGGACAAUGGGCGCAAGCCUGAUCCAGCCAUUCCGCGUGCAGGACGAAGGCCUUCGGGUUGUAAACUGCUUUUGUACAGAACGAAAAGCUCUGGGUUAAUACCCUGGGGUCAUGACGGUACUGUAAGAAUAAGCACCGGCUAACUACGUGCCAGCAGCCGCGGUAAU
rnacentral:rRNA from 1 species